GCCCAGACUCCUACGGGAGGCAGCAGUGAGGAAUAUUGGUCAAUGGGCGGGAGCCUGAACCAGCCAAGUCGCGUGAGGGAAGACGGUCCUAUGGAUUGUAAACCUCUUUAGGCGGGGAGCAAUGCCGGGCACGCGUGUCCGGAGGGAGAGUACCCGCAGAAUAAGCAUCGGCUAACUCCGUGCCAGCAGCCGCGGUAAUACGGAGGAUGCGAGCGUUAUCCGGAUUUAUUGGGUUUAAAGGGUGCGUAGGCGGAUUUUUAAGUCAGCGGUAAAAUGUCCGGGCUCAACCCGGGCCGGCCGUUGAAACUGGGGAUCUUGAGUGGGCGAGAAGUAUGCGGAAUGCGUGGUGUAGCGGUGAAAUGCGUAGAUAUCAGGAGGAACACCGGUGGCGAAGGCGGCUUACUGGACCAUAACUGACGUUGAGGCUCGAAAGCGUGGGGAGCGAACAGGAUUAGAUACCCGAGUAC
rnacentral:rRNA from 1 species